UAGUUGGCUUUGCUUUGCAAGCUGUUUGCCAGACUGUUUUUGUAGCUUGCUUUACGAACUUAGCUUUUCUAAGCAAGUUAAAUGGAUUUAAAUCCAGUAAGUUAAAACCAGUUAAAGUUUAGCCAUUGUCUUCAAUAGUGACAGGAAUGCAAGAAUGGCAACACUGGCUCAGACAAGUGAUUCAUCUGGCUCAGUAUCAUCCCGCUCAGUCAUAGCCAGAGGUGGAUGCCUGAGGAGAACUAAGAACAAGGUACGUAUGCAGUGAUGCUUCCUCCAGCCAGUUCAGGAAAUCCAUGAGCUGGAUAAGGUGUCUGUUUUUACAGCAAUUUUUAGUUGAUUUUUUGGUGAACUUUCCUAGUCACCCUAUGAACCUACAUAAACUUUUGGCAAUCCACCACAUCCUGGAGGAAAGGGCUCUGCAGAUGCGCUGCCUGUUGUGCAAAGGACCGUGCCCCUUCGCUUCGUCCUGUCUGUGGCCUUGCUCUGCACCUCUUAGUUGUAUUAGCAGAGCAGGGCAAACAUCGGUCCCUGGAAUCUCUCUGCAUGCCAGUCCUGAUCUGGCAGAUGUAUUGGAGAAUGUGCACUUAGUGUUGUGGGUUUUGUUGUUGGUUUUGGGGGCUUUUGUAUGUUUGAUUUUAAUGGAAGCUGGUUUACCACUGUUGCCCUCUGAACCUUUUCAUGUUCUGAUGUACAUCAUUUUUUGAGCAGAGGGACAGAACUGCACUUCCACGUGAGGUUUGGGACAACCUUAGGUUUAGGCAGUGGAGUACAGCUGCUGUCUAGUUUCCUUCUCCUCCUUUUCUCCUCCUUUUCUCCUCCUUUUCUCCUCCUUUUCUCCUCCUUUUCUCCUCCUUUUCUCCUCCUUUUCUCCUCCUUUUCUCCUCCUUUUCUCCUCCUUUUCUCCUCCUUUUCUCCUCCUUUUCUCCUCCUUUUCUCCUCCUUUUCUCCUCCUUUUCUCCUCCUUUUCUCCUCCUUUUCUCCUCCUUUUCCUUUUUCCUUCUCCUAAAAGAAGAAAAGUGUCAAACAUUACCAACCCUGGCAUCCCUUUGACUGCUACCAAGCAUUGGGACCAUAUGUUAGAUGCUCUGGAAAGAACAUUCCUCCUCUUCAAGGGUUGAGCUGGCUGCAGUCCAGGCAGCUCCCUGGCAGGAGCUCUUUGAGGAAAGGCUGGGAGAAAUCUUUAUCAUUUCACCAUCCCAGGACAAGUACAAGUUGGAGGGGGUUCCUCUUUUUAGACACCUCAGCCUGUAAUUUUGGACUGGUCAGAGACAGACCAGCUUGUGGGAGCUGGGAAGCAGGAGGGGGCUUUCUUUUGAGGCAGUCACUGGAACUGCUUUUCAAGAGGUUUCUCAUAUAUGUCUGCAUAUGAAGGAAUGUCAUCUAUUGAGCAGGUGGCAAACAAACAUGACACCACGGGGAAUGCAAUUAUUUGGACCUCGUCAACAUUAAGAUUAUUCACCAACCGGGAGUUAGAGAUUUCCUUCUCCCCCUCUUUUUCCCAAAAUGUGUUAGGCCAAGUGAUUUUUGGUGGACGGGGCAGCAAAUCUGAGGCAGAAGGUGGAAGUUGGCUCUUCAAAUGCAGUAAAAGAUGUCAGUGAAGCAAAAGACGUUUUAUUUACCACAGAGUGUUUUUAGAGGAUGUGCAGCAGCCAGAAACAAAUGUUUUGAAUGCUCAUCAGUAAAUGCUGCAAAAAAGAAGUGCCACAAGCCAAAUUAUUUUCCACUCCAAGUCAUAUUUGCUUCACUUUUUUCUUGUCUCUAAUCCAAGCCAUGAGCAGUAAUGCCUCUAUCUCCCAAAUAACUGUCACAUAAAUAUAAUUUUUAAACUUGUUGAAGAGCAGUCAUGGCUUGCCUAUCCUGCCUGCCAUUGCCUUCAUCCAGGUUUGGAGUUGCUGUCUUAUCCCUGGUGCUCUUGAGAGGAAGCACAGAGGUGAGUCCAUCACGGAUGUGGAAAUGCUAUUGCCCUGCAGGUUUGGCAGCAAGCACCUGGGCUGCAGAGCUGAGGAGCGAAUGCUGAUGCCCAUCACACAAUUGUCAGCUGUUUGCUUAUGUCUCACUGUGAAGACCAGGCAACAAGGACUUAGGGGACAUCACUCUGGUUCUGGCCUUGUCUGCCUCUUGGUUUCCAUAGCUAUGGAGUGAAAAAUGGUAGUGCACACACAUAUUUGGGAGGAAAAAAUACCCACAAAACACUUUCAGAUCAAUAAGGGCAACAUAAUGUGGAAAAGGCUACAGGGUUAAAUUUACUGCUGGUUUAGAGACUUGGGACCUUCAGGCAACACAACACCCCUUAGGGUGUGAUACUAAAAAAUAAAUUAGUAACCUCAUUCAGCAGCAAUUACUAACUCUGUCUUUUGUCUAGAUGGGGAAUUUUAGUUCAAGCCCUUUACGGCAAUGUUACAAUGCGUAAUUAUACGACUUGUGGUGCAGUUAGAUAGAUGCAAAUCAUCUGGGUGUGCUAUCUCUCCAUUUAAUCAGUGAUUUGUUUACCACUUGGGUACAGAGAAUACUUUUAUUUAAAAUCAGUUAAAUGCAUUUCCAUUAAGAGCAUCAGUGGGAAAUAAUGGAACAACUGAUUUGUUGCUAGUUAAAAGCAUCCAAGAGCAAUCUAGUGUAGUUCAUUUACUUUGAGCUUUAUGCAAUACACAGUCAGCUAUUUCCAUGCACAAUACAAACCACACAUGAUUUCUCAUGUUCUCUGUUUAUGGUCUUUCCCAUUAAUCUUUAACUUCAUUAGGAACACAUAAGCUGGCUCACUUACAUCCUGGGUGUUCUCUGUAAUUUAAAGCCUACUUUUAAUGUUUUGGGGAUAUCUCUCUUUGCUUUUAACAUUAUAAUAUGUUACAGAUACACUGGUAUGUUUCUGGAAAUAAGUGUAAUAAUUUUCUAGCAAAUUCGGUCAGGGAACAUAAAUUAUCCGCUUUGCAACUGAUAAGCUGGUGUGUGAUGAGAGUAUAAGGAAUUUUGUCAGCAGACGAGGCCGCGUAUGUGGGGUGCCUGGGGUAGACCAAUGGGCACCACACUCAGAGGAGCAACCUGAAUCAAAGCCCAUGGAAAAUGGUAAAAAUUCUUCUGUGUUUCUGGGGCUAACCAACAAGUGUAUUUGGCCACCAUUUUUCCAUGAUUCUUUCAUAGCCCUUACCUGAGGUCGUAUGUAAAGGCUUGGACUGUCUGGUCUGUGUUUACACAAUGUCCAGCACACAGGGGUUCUAACGACUGACAGGGGCUCCAAGGUACUACUGCUCUAUGAAGAAUAAAUACCAAUUAUUUAUUUAGCAGCUGGAGAAAAACAACAAGUUUCCCUUCCUCUACACAGUAACCUAUAAUUUCUUUUUACAGGGAAGGGAGGGACGUGCGUGCCCGUCAGAACGCUGCAAACACCGCAGUUCUCGAAGUCCUGGCUGGGCCACCACUGCACCUACCGCAUGAAGUAGGUCAUUCUCUGCCAUGUGUAUGACAGCCUCGCAGUAGGGUUUGCCAGCUUUUAAUAUAAACUCUCUGAACUUAAGCAUUAAAAAAAAUAAAAUCCAUACUUCCAUGCUAGCUGUAAAAAUCAAAAUGAAACUUGUAACGCAAAAUAAACCACAGCAAUCCCAGGACUUGUCCUGUGGUUCUGCCCCACACACGUAACUUGGUGGGGGAUAAUUUACCAAGGAGGAACAAGCCGACCUGUCAUAACCUGCUUUUUCUAGGCUGUCUCUCAUUCUACAGGCUUUCUGAACAUUUGUUUCUGAUUAAUAGACGCUGCAACUGGAUGUGGAUGAUCUGCGUGUUGGAGAGCGGUUCAGCAGGGUCUUUGCUCGGCUCUGUUCUGCAGCAUCCGUGGAAGCAGUUGCCUGUUCCCCUUUGGUGGUAUCCAGACAGGUGCUACACAGCCCCAGCUGGUGGAGGUGCAGUCCAGGGCAUUGCUAGAGGCUCUGGUUGCCACGGCAAGUUUGAAUCUUCUGAAGUGACGACAGCGAGCGAAAGAGAAAUAUUCAAACAAGGUAUGUCUAUCUCUUUAUUUUGUAGGGACAGGCUUCAUUUUUAGGCAGCCAAGAAGAGAAGAAACUCCAGGAGACACUGCCUGAUUAACAAGUCUGCGGGGGCUGGCAGCGAGUGCUGCAGGGUUGAAAGCAAACUUGGUGUAAUUGUUGGCACUCGUUCCAUGUAGGAAUAGUAAGUUCAUUUUUUGUGUGCUUCCUGAUGCUUGCUCUGUGGUUGUGAGCUGAUAGAAGGCAAAGCUUCGGCUUCCUGAACCCUCUAAAUAAAGCACCCCUUCUAUAUAGAUGUUUUCAAAGAAAGGCACAUUGUACUCUCUGCUUUGGUCGAGUUUUCAUAUUUGGCUCUUUGAAUGAACAACUCUGGUCAAUAAACAGUUGGAAACUUAUUUCAAAAGGCUUGAAUGUAUUGCAAGGAAAAAUAUCUUCACUUGAAUGGCUUGGAGCAGCUCUCAGAAGUUUAUUUACAUAGCUGUUGCAUUGUGCCACAGUUGGAAGGGCAUCCAGGCUUCCUCUUUAAUCUUAAACUCCUUUUACUUAAAUCAUUAAUUCACAAAUAACUUCAGUCUUCAUUUUUUCAAAGUUUGUUUCUUUCAAGAGGUUAUUACAGCAAACUAGUGAUUAUUUAAAUGCUUGAAUUAAUACAUAUAUUAGCUCUUAUAAAUUCAGACGUAGUGAACAGCAAGUCGGUCAGUCCCCAUCCGUGUGUGCAGGCCAUAAUGUGAAUGAGUGUUCCUAGAUGGUGAGGAUGUAAAACUCAUACCUGUGCCCUAGUGAAACCCCAAAAGGUCACUUGUGAAAGUUGUUCAUUUUCAGGGCCACCUCCAAUGCUAAGAAAAAUGUAUUUCGCUCCAGUGGAAAGUCCUUUAUAAAACUAGGCAUUAUGGAUUUAGCUAGAACUUCCUGUUCCUACAAAGCCAGGUUGAAUAAAGUGGGUAGGCCAGCAGUGAAUGAAUGCUCCAUAUUCUGGUUUUCUCGGUCUCAGUCAAAUAACGAUGCUUAUUUUGCAUGAUUCAUUACACUCCUGGUUUAUUAUGUUACUAAAUCACAUUUAUCUCUGUCAGGCCUUUUUUCUCAGGGUAUUCUGUGUUUGUGUGGGUUUUUUGUUUGUUUGUUUGUGUGUUUUGUUGUGUUUUUUUUUUUUUUUUUAAACCAGGUGCUUAAUAUUUUGUAUGGCACCAAUACCAACAUAUUGUUUAAAACAACAUCAAUCAAGAGUUAACUCCCACAACGAUAAAAAAGGCAAAAUGAGUCCCCACAGCUAGAUAUCUACCAAGAAAUCAUCUAGUGCUCUGACGUUCGCUAUAGGCAAAAUAAAACAAAGCACUACCAGCAAUAAAUCAAUUCUUGUGUGCGGGUAUUGUCAAAAUAAGCUUUUCUGGCGCUCUCUGAUCCAACUUGUAGGCCAACUAGUGCUGUCUUUUAUACAUCCAAGUGUUUUGAAAAGCCAUUGUGCUCAAGGAAGAGCUAAGCUGUCUCAAACAUUAAUAUCCACAAGGUAAUGGGAGUCUCCAGCUUGUGUGGGAAUCCUCAUUAGGUACUUCUAAAAGCCAGACUUUCCUCAAGUAAGGUGUUAAUUGUAUGUUGCUUGAGAAAAGUAUAUUAAAAAUAUUCCAGCUACAGAUGGGCUUUAAAAUCAGAGUUGCAUUUUAAAUAUCAAAAUGUCUGGAAUUGUCUGAUUUACAAAAAAAAUCCUUUCUGCCUUUCUUUCUUCAUUAGAAAGUUGAGAAAUAAACCCAAGGCUUUCAUAUACUUGCAUGCUAAAGCUCUUGGGUGCCUGCCUGGCUUUUGGCCUUAUCCCAUCUACAUCUAUUGUAUUAAAACAGUUAAAAGCAUUCUUCUCUUCCCCCUUUUCCCCUGCAGCUGGAAAGCACUGUCCUCUGCUUUCAUGAAAACAAACAUCAAUGCUGCCUGUUGUAUAGACCUCUAGUUGGUCCAGUUUGCUUUCACUGAAGUGGCCUAUAGAUCUGUAACUUUGGACAAGAGGUAGGUUGUGUAGGUGUGGGAUUAAAGUCUUUCCAAUCAGACAAUUUUCAAAUCCAUAAAAAACUCAACUUCUGGCAGAGGCCUCACCUGUUCAGACAAGGUGAGCAGGAAAUUCAGAUAUCUAAGACGUGAGAGGUAGAAAAGGAGCAAGCAUAUGACAAUGCGGGCCUUUUUACUUGAAGAGAUUUUUCAGCCUGAGGUCAUUCUAACAUUGGAUAUUUUCACAUCUAAAGUGGGUGAUCAAGGCUAUAAUGGGGCAUUUCUAUGGACCUCUGUGGAUAGAUUGCUUCUCUUCUGUGCCUGAGCACUGGAGUGAAAAUCUAGGAUGUAGAGAUCACAGUAAAAUUUCCAUGGAUUAAAAUUCUGCCAAUUUUUUUACAUAGAGAUCUAGUUUUAGGAUAUCACUGCAAACAUCACUAGAAAUAUUUCCUUCUCUGAAAAUAAGUAAUAGAUGAGAAAUGAAAGUUGAGUAAGAAAUACUCCUUCAGUUUUACAAGGUGCAGAGUAAUAUGUGCGCUGGGGCAGUCUGUCAGCACCAGCUGAUGAUUUCUGCAGCUGGGUCCUGUUCCACGGCAAAGCCUGUAUUCCUAGCUGUGGAACAAAAGAUUACCAGAGAUAACUGAUGGAAAACUUAUUCCAGUUAUUGACUAAGCAGCCUCACCUUCACCCUGCAGCUAAUUGCAAGGUUAAAAACUGUAGUAAAAACAUCCAUAUUUGUCAAGCAAUUUGGUUUAUUUCUGGUCCAGAUAAAUGAAGCAAUAUUCCAUCGCCAUCUCUGACUAUGCUUAAUUUUUUUUUCUAUGUAGACCUGUUAUGACAAAAUCUCUUUCAUUUUAAUUAAAUUUUUCCAGAUAGUAUCUUUAUAAAACUAGCACUCAGAGAGGCACGAUCAUUAUUUUUAAUAGUAGAGGGUUAAUGCUUGUUAAAAGCGCUAGAGGAGCAUUUGUCACUACUAAAGCUUUCUGUAUGCAAGGAGAGGAUCAGCAAGGCUUCAUCAGAUCUGCUUUUCCAGUGUCAUCUUCACACAAAUUUAAGGCCUCGUCUACAAAAGUGGGUAAGUACUUGCUUAUUUUCAGAGUACAAAUAAUCUAGUAACUUCAGUGUAUGUUGUUGGCCUGUUUCAAUGAGACAGAUUUAAAAAUGAAGUGUUUGCUUAAAUACUUGGCUGCCUUUGGGCUUUGACCUUUACUUUUUUUUUUUCACGAAGAGGGGAAAAAAAUGUUGAUUCCACUCUACCCAUUUGUAGUUAAUAGCCAUCACUGCUCAGAACCAGAUUGUAUUUUCCAGUUGAUUUCAUAUAUAUAUCACUAGAGAGCUGUGAGGUGAUAAGAGCUUUCAGCCCCCAGCACGCUUCAGCCUGAGCCAAGAUGAACAAGCCUAGAAAUGAAGGAGAAAUGCAGCCUGCACCUUGAUUUCCUUGGGGAAAAAAGAGGCAGAGACGACUGCAAGUGUAGGACUCUUAUCAGUUUGAGCUUUGCCACAGCAAGCAAACGCUAAAUAUUUUCUAAAGUGACCUGAGUUAACCUUCUUGCAAUGCCAAAACACACGGGCUCCUUUUGGUUGCCCGCAGGCAGGUGGAGCUGUCAAGGGCAUAGCAGUCCUGCUUCCCCGCUGACAACCCACAGGGGUGCCUCAGGUAUCAAAGGACAUUUCAAAUGGCCCCAGUAACCUGUGUUUAGGCAACAGAGUUAAACCUUUCCUGGUUGUCAAUGGUCUCAAAUGGGGAUUUGCUCCCAGGCCUGCAAAGGACAGGCAAAUUUGCUGCUCAGCCAAGUUUUGAAGUCCCUCCUCAGGAAAACUCCCACUGACCAAAGCAUGCCAGGAUUUCAUUUACUGUUGGGAAACAUGAAACCUCCCUAGCUGAAGUAUCUUAAUUAGGCCAUUAAAGCCUGGUAUAAAAUGGCUGAGAUAAACAGGGUCAAGAGGGACAAGAAUAUUGCCAAUGUGCUAUAAAGCGUUUGCUGCUCAGCCCCAGGGUUCAAACCAUCCACAAACACAUUUUCAUCACACCUCUGUGUGGUGGCUCCUGGAAGGGACACUGGGUCAACGUUUUUUGCUUAGCCAGCAUCAAGGCAGGGAGCCCCAGGUUCUCUCUCUUCAGCGCUCAGUGCCCUGCUCUGACUUUCGGUUUCUAAUUCUGCUAUGUUAUAACUUAGUCCAGCUUUGGGAUUUACUAUGUGUGUUUUGGGCAGUUUGAAAUGCUGCAUCUUCAGUUUUCCUUUGCAAGGGCUCUGGCACUCAUUCGCUUCAUAUUUGUUUUUCAGAAAUGUUUUAAUAAUUGUGGUUAGUCCAGGAGACUGAAUUGAAAGAAUUUGGUAAAGUGGCAGAUCUAGGGCCUGUGUACGUAUAUGUAGAAAAAGUAGAAUGCAAAUGCAGAUCUCUGGUGGUGUCUUUGUAUCCUGGUGGAUAAAAAAAAGAGACAAAUCCAAAAUAUUUACCAUAAAAAAAAAACAAAAUUGGGAACUCUAGAAUGGCAUUACAGCUUUUUAUGUGCGUGUAGAUGGUAAAAUUACUUUUUUUACUUUGAAGAAUCAGCAUUUCUGAUGUCAAGAAUUUAUGUUUGGAAGAAGUGAGAUAAGGUUGGAAGCUGUAGAUGUAGGAAAUUAAAUGCAAGUGUCAAAUCCUCAGCUUAUUACUCGCUUCUAGCAGUCCACACAGUCCUGCAAACAGAUUUGUAUUCUUAUCAUUUGACAGUAUUUGGUCAUGCUCUCAGACCUGGGUAAGUCGUUGUUUCUUUUUUUCCGAGCCCAACCUGUUGGAAAAACACACGGGGUAUUGGGAGAGUUGUCUCAUGGAAGCAAAAUAUAGCAGAAAAAAAUAGCAAAAGUAUAAAUAUUUUGAUUCUUAAGGCCUUUGGUGGAAAUUACAUUUUUGUUUAAAGAAUGGACAACGUUUUUAAGAAUAAGAAUCCUAUGCUGGCAAUAGCCUUUCGUUUGCACUAGACACUUCCAUCUACUGCUGGAUGUGCAGUUUUGUGGGCUGGUACUUGGUCUUGAGCAGUGAACUGAAGCAGUGUGGAUUUGCACAGGGAGGCUGCGGUGUCCCCUCUUUCUUUGGGAGAAAAGUCUUCCAGAGUGCUCUCUGUUUUGAGGUGGCUAUAUUGUUUUGUUUUGUUUUCUUUUGUUUUGUCAAAUCAGUGGCAGUUUUCUAAUGGAAUCAUGUGCUAUGGGAAUUCCUGCACUGGAUUGCAACAUAGUUAGCUUUUGAUUUAAGAAAAUGAAGGAUUUGUAGUUCCUGAAUUUUGUAAGCCACAAAACAGAGGGUGUCAUAAGCUGGCGAUUAAAUUAAGCCUAGUGCAACUGUGACGUCUUGGCAGAGGAGGUGGCAAUGGGGAAGGGACACCAUCCCAUCCACUGCUUCGGCUUUUCCUUUCUGCGCCCCUGCCAUGCUGCCUCCCUCGGAUUACAGCCCCAAGGAGCUGCAUCCAACUUCGCACCCAAGGGUGGCAAGGGAAAUAUUGAGGAGUUAUGGGGGUCUCAGGAACAUCUCUCCAAGCUGGUGAGUGAUCAAAGGUGGCUACUGCAUAGAAUCAUAGAAUCAUUGUUGUUGGAAGAGACCCUCAUGGUCACUGAGUCCAGCCAUUAACCUAAAUCUAGCACUAACCAUGUCCCUAAGAACCUUGUCUACACGUCUUUUAAACACCUCCAGGGAUGGUGAUUCAACCACUUCACUUCCCUGGGCAGCCUUUUCCAAUGCCUGACAGCCCUUUCUGUGAAGAAGUUUUUCCUAUAAUCCAACCUAAACUUGAGGGCAUUUCCUCUCAACCUGUUGCUUGCUACCUGGGAGAAGAGACCAACACCCUCCGUGCUAGAACCUCCUUUCAGGUAGUUGUAGACAGCAAUAAGGUCUCUCCUCAGCCUCCUUUUCUCCAGGCUAAACAGCCCCAGUUCCCUCAGCCGCUCCUCAUCAGACUUGUGCUCCAGACCCCUCACUAGCUUCGUUGCCCUUCUCUGAACUUUCUCUGGUGCCUCAAUGUCCUCCUUGUAGUGAUGGGCCCAAAUAUUGAGGAGUUACGGGGUUCUCUGGAGCACCUCUCCCGGCUGGCGGGCGAGGAAACGCUGCUACCGCACGCCCCUCGCCAGCCUGACCCACAGCCCGAGGCACGGCCGCGCUUCGGAGGUGACGACCCCCCUGCCC